rnacentral:lncRNA from 1 species
UUUUUUUUUUUUCUUUUUUUUUUUCCUGGACAGGGUCUCACUCUGUCACCGAGGCUGGAGUGCAGUGGUGUGAUCUCAGAUCACUGCAGCCUGGACCUCCCUGGAUUCAAGUGAUCCUCUCAUCUCAGCCUCCUGAGUAGCUGAGACUACAUUCACGUGCCACCAUGCCCAGCUAAUUUUUUUGUAUUUUGUAGAGAUGAGGUCUCACCAUGUUUCCCAGACUGGUCUCCAACUCCUGGGCUCAAGCAAUCCACCCACCUCAGCCUCCCAAAGUGCUGGGACUAUAGGAACAAGCCACUGCAUCCAGCUCAGAUGAAAUUUUUGAAUGUGUCACAGAAGGUUGUUUUAAGUACAGUACAUUCCUCCAACAACUUCAAUGUCAUUGUAGAUUCUUGGAAUAAAUUCGCUCCCAUAUCUUCUUUCUCUUUGUUUCUUCUUUUAAAAACUCAAGUUACCAGGUAGGAAGCACUAAAGAUACUGAAGGUAGACCUCCCCAUGAUAUUUUCUUCCCCCAAACUAUAAAAUACAUGUGAGAUGAUCUUUUUUAAUGCAUGCAACAUACCCUUCAGAUGUUGUCCCCGAGAAGAGAUUUUUGAAAAAACAAAUUGAAAAAUAAAAAUUAUAGGCUCUGUGAAGUAUGAACAUUUACAUCACUGCACAGUUUCUGUGCAUCUACCAUAAUGACUUCUAUAUAUACACACAGGCAUACACACACACACACACACAAUUUGUGGUUAUAAUCGAACAAGUCCAGUUCAAACUUACAAACUUAAGUCUAUGAGAAAAACCAAGACAUCACAGUAGGCACACAACAACACUAAAGGAUAAGAUAAAAUCUACAACCAAACAAUUUUCAAAACCUUCCUACAGUGUGGAAUUCCAGUUGCUUAAAUAAUGCCAGUUCCAUUAAUUUCAACUGUGCUCUGAUCUAUUUCUAUACACACAGGUACACAGAAAAGUGGAAAUGUCCUUAUGCCGUGAAGAAGACAUUUUACUUCUGGUCUGCUUAGGUGCAGUUCUUUGUUCCAGGCCGAUUCCAAUCUUCCUGUUUCUAGCAUGAAAUAGGAUGAAAGAUUUUGUGAGUUUCUCAGUAACUGGAUGAAUUUCGUACUCAUGAUCAUCUCAAUGAUAACACAAAGGUUUCCUUUUCCUAAGUGACAACAAAGAAAACUUUGUAAUUCUUUUGCAAGGAUCCAUAAGCCUGAAUUCUAAAAGGAGAGGCCAAUCAAAAGGAAAUGAAGAAUGUUUCAAAGGUAAGGGUUUUUUUUGGUUGGUUUGUUUGAGACGGCGUUUUGCUUCUGUUGCCCAGGCUGACUCCGUCUCAAAAAGGAAAAAAAAAAAAUUCAUUAAACAGAGCCCUGACCACCACUAGCCAAACUACAUUAAAAAUGAGUCCACUUAGCAAAAAUAAUACUUACACAUACUUUCUCAACAAGGCAUACCAGACUGAGAAAGGUCAUUCCUAUGUGUGGAAUCCUUUUCAGGGACAGUAGGGGCAGCUGGGGACAGGAUGUAAUGAAACUGUUCACUGAUUAUAAGACAAAAAUCCAUCCAAUGGAAGCUUUUUUGUUCUUGAAGUAAAUUUUACAACUGAGGGCUCUCUGUUAGAGAAAGGUUCUAUUUUUGUGGCUUAUCAACGGGUCCUUCAUACUAAAGCAAACCAAGUCUUUACAUCAUUUUAAAGAUUUCCUGGAGAGACAUAAUUUGUAAGAUGUUAUGCGCAAGUUAGCGAAAACGUAAGCCCCAGAGUAGACCAGAGAAACAAACACAUUCAGGAACAUCUUGUGAUUUUUAAAACCCACAACUGGAUUCCACAAGCAUUUAUGAAGUUGAUAAAGUUACACACUCUCAUGUUAAUACAAACCAGUCACCACUGUAAAAGCGUUCAUCACAUACUGAGAGGUGAAGCCAUGCCGCGGAGACAGGUUAUUUUCUCGAGGUCAUAGCCACCUAUUCCUCUAUCAUUUUGUUCUCUAUUAUUUUAAUUUUUAUCCAGUUUUCCUCUUGAUACAUCCAUGGAAACACCCGCCCAGGAUGGAGGGCUCUCAUUCACCCCGUCUUUCAGCAGGUUGGUUCCUCUCCCCAAUCAGCAACUGUGACAUUUGGUGUCUGUUUCAAAUGGUGUUGGUUAGCCAACUGGGAAGACUACAGGAAAAUUAUGGGAAUGGAAAUCAAAGUGGGAAAAACAAGCUAUGUCAAUGAGUAGACACAUCACUGACAAUAUUUUGCUUCACUGGUAUUUUUCUUGCUCAUAUGUUACAGGAAGAAAGAUCUAAUUGAAGCCAUAUAACCGAGCAAUUUAGAAUUGAGGAGUAACUGA